rnacentral:rRNA from 1 species
GAUGAACGCUGGCGGCGUGCCUAAUACAUGCAAGUCGAGCGAACGGACGAGAAGCUUGCUUCUCUGAUGUUAGCGGCGGACGGGUGAGUAACACGUGGAUAACCUACCUAUAAGACUGGGAUAACUUCGGGAAACCGUAGCUAAUACCGGAUAAUAUUUUGAACCGCAUGGUUCAAAAGUGAAAGACGGUCCUGCUGUCACUUAUAGAUGGAUCCGCGCUGCAUUAGCUAGUUGGUAAGGUAACGGCCUACCAAGACAACGAUGCAUAGCCGACCUGAGAGGGUGAUCCGCCCCACUGGAACUGAGACCCGGUCCCGACUCCUACGGGAGGCAGCCGUGGGGAAUAUUGCACAAUGGGCGAAAGCCUUAUCGAGCCAAGCCGCGUGUGUGAAGAAGGUCUUCGGAUUGUAAAACACUUUUAGUUGGGAGGAAGAGAAGUUAGUUAAAACUUUGCUGUUUUGACGGGUCCCAAAGAAGAAGCCCCGGCUAACUUCGUG